rnacentral:misc_RNA from 1 species
UGGGCUUGACAUCUCGGGGAAAGACCUCGUUUCUGAGGUCUUUCCCCGAGAUGUCAAGCCCAGGUAAGGUUCUUCGCGUUGCGUCGAAUUAAACCACAUGCUCCACCGCUUGUGCGGGCCCCCGUCAAUUCCUUUGAGUUUCAGCCUUGCGGCCGUACUCCCCAGGCGGGGCACUUAAUGCGUUAGCGCCGGCACCCAGGGGGUCGCUCCCCCAGGCACCUAGUGCCCAUCGUUUACGGCGUGGACUAC